GCUGCUCUCAGGAUUCUUAUGUAGAAAAAAAAAUGAAAAGAUUCUUAGCUCUCUGGCGGCUGUGAGCUGACAGUGGUGAUCCACGACUUCACCGCUUGCAACAGCAACGAGCUGACCAUCCGACGGGGCCAGACCGUGGAAGUUCUAGAGCGGCCGCAUGACAAGCCUGACUGGUGUCUGGUGCGGACCACUGACCGCUCCCCGGCGGCAGAAGGCCUGGUCCCCUGUGGCUCACUGUGCAUCGCCCACUCCAGAAGUAGCAUGGAAAUGGAGGGCAUCUUCAACCACAAAG
rnacentral:sRNA from 1 species